rnacentral:misc_RNA from 1 species
GACGUAGGGUGCAAGCGUUAUCCGGAUUUACUGGGCGUAAAGCGUUCGUAGGCGGUAGUUCAAGUCAUCAGUGAAAGCCUCCGGCUCAACCGGAGAAAGCCUGGUGAAACUGAACUGCUAGAGUAUCAUAGGGGAGGCCGGAACUGUUGGUGUAGCAGUGAAAUGCGUUGAUAUCAACAGGAACACCGAGGGCGAAGGCAGGCCUCUGGGUGAUUACUGACGCUGAGGAACGACAGCUAGGGGAGCGAAAGGG